UAUUUCUUCGCCUUUUAAAUCAAUUAUUUUAUAAGUAAAAGGAAUUGUAUUUAAAACUUUUUCAAUUACAAAUAUUUCUUUAGUCCAACGAGUAGUAUAACCCUUUUCAAAUUUACCCUUCUUUUUUGUUAUUCUUACUCUAGUACCUGCUUCGAAUUUAGGUUUUUUAAUUUUCUCUUCCUUUUCUGGAUAUAAAUUUUUAUACACUGUUAAUUCAUUUUUUAAUUUACUUGCUUGAACAGGUGUCAUUUUAAUUGAAGAAUGUACUGUAUUAUUAUAAUUUUUAACUAAUUUAUCUAAUAUAUCAUAAUAUUUUAAAGUUUCAUUAGCAGUAAAGUAUUUAUACAUAUGUUGUUUCAUUGUUCCUAUCCAGCGUUCCACUACACUGGAUUUU
rnacentral:lncRNA from 1 species